rnacentral:lncRNA from 1 species
GCUCGAUGUCGGCGUUGUUUGAAGGUUCCUGAUCGUCACUGUGCUGAUUCGCCCUUAGGGACUGGAGAUUUUUGACAAGGGCUUUCUUCCUUGUUGAGACGAGGUUCCUUGAGUCUCAGCCUUCAAAGGCUUCAUAACGCACACUUUACUAAUGAAAUGAAAAGGAAUCUUUCUCGUCACCUCGUCCAUUUUGACAUUGAGUUAUCAUUUACCAAACUUCUUUUAUCUUUCGUCCUGUUUGACGUCGACGUUGUUCGAAGAUUCUAGGUCG